rnacentral:lncRNA from 1 species
AUGGCUAGUUUUUCUGAUAGCUUCAAAUAGAUAGAUUUUCACCACUGUGGUGAGUUUGACCUCUCCAAUAGCAAGUAUACUUCAGCCAAAAUUAAAAUUAUUUAAGGCUAGAGAUUCAAUUGAAAGGUAAGCCAAGUAAAUAGAAAAGAGAAAAUCUUCAAUUUUUGGUGUGAGCUUUGUGUAUCCUCGAGCAAGUCUAAAAAGAGAGAAAUUAAGUGCCUUAAUUGAGUGAGCAAUCUUGAGUAUAUCCUCAACAAACC